rnacentral:rRNA from 1 species
UAGCUAAUCCUGGUCGGACAUCAGGAGGUUAGUGCAAUGGCAUAAGCUAGCUUGACUGCGAGCGUGACGGCGCGAGCAGGUGCGAAAGCAGGUCAUAGUGAUCCGGUGGUUCUGAAUGGAAGGGCCAUCGCUCAACGGAUAAAAGGUACUCCGGGGAUAACAGGCUGAUACCGCCCAAGAGUUCAUAUCGACGGCGGUGUUUGGCACCUCGAUGUCGGCUCAUCACAUCCUGGGGCUGAAGUAGGUCCCAAGGGUAUGGCUGUUCGCCAUUUAAAGUGGUACGCGAGCUGGGUUUAGAACGUCGUGAGACAGUUCGGUCCCUAUCUGCCGUGGGCGCUGGAGAAUUGAGGGGGGCUGCUCCUAGUACGAGAGGACCGGAGUGGACGCAUCACUGGUGUUCGGGUUGUCAUGCCAAUGGCACUGC